UAUGGCCACAGCACAUUGAAGCACCAGUUCUUGUACAAUCACUGAAGGUAAGCAACAUCAAGCCUGGUCAGUACCUAGAUGUGUGACUGCUUAGGAAUACCAGGUACUGUAAG